UACGGAGGGGGGCUAGCGUUGUUCGGAAUUACUGGGCGUAAAGCGUACGUAGGCGGCUUUGUAAGUUAGAGGUGAAAGCCCGGGGCUCAACCCCGGAAUUGCCUUUAAGACUGCAUCGCUUGAAUCGCGGAGAGGUGAGUGGAAUUCCGAGUGUAGAGGUGAAAUUCGUAGAUAUUCGGAAGAACACCAGUGGCGAAGGCGGCUCACUGGACGCGUAUUGACGCUGAGGUACGAA
rnacentral:rRNA from 1 species